rnacentral:misc_RNA from 1 species
AACCAUAGAAACCUGCGGAGUACCUGCGGAGGGAUCAUUAUUGGAUUUUCCCAAAGGAAAAUGUUGUGCUUUCUUUCUCUUGAAAGAGAGAGAGGACAGUGCAAUGUUUUUCUCAAACAAACGAUCACAACUAGCAAGAGAAAAGGAAAUUGAUUUGGUUGGAAACAAGAAACAAGUGUUUGCCUGAUAAUCAAGAUGAUUUGGAUUGAAGAAAGAAAAACAACUUUCAACAACGGAUCU